AAGACUCUACUUUCAGGGAUCAUUUCUUUAGUCUGGAACUAGAGGAUUGUGUUUCUACAGAGGUUGGUCUGGCUGUCCAUGAUGAUGAAUGAAGAUGUUUCCUUCAGAGCAGGAAGCUGGUGAGAAGAUGAGGAUCUUCUUCACUGAUGAAGACUGUUCAGUGUUUCUGG
rnacentral:snoRNA from 1 species